rnacentral:rRNA from 1 species
UACGUAGGGCGCGAGCGUUGUCCGGAUUUAUUGGGCGUAAAGAGCGUGUAGGCGGCCAUACAGGUCAGCUGUGAAAACUCGAGGCUCAACCUCGAGACGUCGGUUGAAACCGUAUGGCUAGAGUCCGGAAGAGGAGAGUGGAAUUCCCGGUGUAGCGGUGAAAUGCGCAGAUAUCGGGAAGAACACCUAUGGCGAAGGCAGCUCUCUGGGACGGUACUGACGCUGAGACGCGAAAGCGUGGGGAGCGAACAGG